AAGUGUACUUUUGAUUACCGAUCCAUAGUGGCAAAAACAAAACGAAAUUUAAACAGUUAAAAAACUACAGAUUUUCUUUCCCGAGAGUUUUUCAAUGGACGACAGAGGAUUUAUGAGAAUAACGAUGCCUGGCAGCAUAAAUCGACACCAACAAUCAUGGAGGACGUAUGUUUUGGAACGGAAUCAUGUUACAGUGUGUUUAUUAUAGGCGGUAUUCAUAUUUUGUAAAAUUAUGUUCAAGGUAGAAUCAAAUAAAUUGCUGCAGCAUGUAUACUGAAUGGUU